rnacentral:rRNA from 1 species
GACGAACGCUGGCGGCGUGCUUAACACAUGCAAGUCGAACGCUGAAGCUCAGCUUUUGUUGGGUGGAUGAGUGGCGAACGGGUGAGUAACACGUGAGUAACCUGCCCCCUUCUUUGGGAUAACGCCCGGAAACGGGUGCUAAUACUGGAUAUUCACUGGUCUUCGCAUGGGGGUUGGUGGAAAGGGUUUUUCUGGUGGGGGAUGGGCUCGCGGCCUAUCAGCUUGUUGGUGGGGUGAUGGCCUACCAAGGCUUUGACGGGUAGCCGGCCUGAGAGGGUGACCGGUCACAUUGGGACUGAGAUACGGCCCAGACUCCUACGGGAGGCAGCAGUGGGGAAUAUUGCACAAUGGGCGCAAGCCUGAUGCAGCGACGCCGCGUGAGGGAAGGAGGCCUUCGGGUUGUGAACCUCUUUCGCUCAUGGUCAAGCCGCAACAAUGGUUGUGGUGAGGGUAGUGGGUAAAGAAGCGCCGGCUAACUACGUG